ensembl:lncRNA COX10-DT COX10 divergent transcript
UUUUUUUUCUUACUGUAAAUCUUAGCAAGCUCAGCAUACGAAUUUUUUUUUCCUUAAAUUGAAAGCUUUUACCCUUUCACUUAAAGGCAGCACUUUAUGGCUUCUCUUGGGCAUAUCCAAAUUGCUACCAUCACUACUCGUAUUAGUCCAUUUUCACGCUGCUGAUAAAGACAUACCUGAGACUGAGAAAUUUACCAAAUAAAGAGGUGUACUGGACUUACAGUUCCACAUGGCUGGGGAGGCCUCACAAUCAUGGUGGAAGGCAAGAAGGAGCAAGUCAUGUCUUACAUGGAUGGCAGCUGGCAAAGAGAAAGCUUGUACAGGGAGACUCCCGUUUUGAAAACCAUCAGAUCUUGUGAGACUCAUUCACUAUUACAAGAACAGUGCAGGAAAGAUGCACCCCUGUACUUCAAUCACCUCCCAGCAGGUUCCUCCCACGACAUGUGGGAAUUGUGGGAGUUACAAUUCAAGAUGAGAUUUGGUUGGGGACACAGCCAAACCAUAUCACUACUCUUGUGCUUUGGGGCCAUUAUGAAGUAAAACAAGCAUUAUUUGAACACAAGAACUGCAAUACCACCACAGUAGAUCUGAUAACUGUUGGCUACUAAGUGACUAAGGGGCAGGUGAAGUAUACAGCUUGGAUGCGAUGGACAAAGAGGAAGAUCUACCUCCCAGCUGGGAUGGAGCAGGACGAUGCAAGAUUUCAUCACACUACUCAGAAAGGCAUGCAGUUUAAAGCUCGUAAAUUAUUUCAGGAAUUUUCCAUUUAAUAUUUUCAGGCUGUGGCUGACCGUGAGUAACAAACCCAGGAAAGCGAAACUGCAGAACAGUGGAUGGGAGAAAGGGUGAAUUACUGUAUAUUCAUGAGGGAUAUUAGUCCAUAGUUUCUUUUUUCCCUUUUAACAAAUUUUUGGGUUUUGUAUAUAGUUUGUCUGGUUUUGGUAUCAGGGUAAUACUAGCUUCAUAAAAUGAAUUGGAAAGCGUUUCUUCUGUUUUCCUAAAAAGAUUAUAUGGAAUUAGCAUUCAUUCUUUAAACACUUGGUAGAAAUCUUAAGUAAAACCAUCUGAGCUCGGAGAUUUUUUUGUGUGUGUUAUAAAAUUACAUAUUCAGUUUCCUUAAUAUUUAUAAGAUCAUUUUAAUUAUCUGUGUUUUUCAGUGAAACGGGUCAAUUUUCUGUAUGUUGUCAAAUUAAUAUUUGUAGAAUUGUAUUAGUAUUCUUCAUUAUCCUUUUGAUGUCUGCAGAAUCUGUAAUGGUAUCCCUGUUUUAUUUCUGAUAUUAAUUUGUGCCAUUAUGUCUUUUUUUCUUUGUUGAUCUUGUCAGAAGUUUGUCAAUUUUAUCAAUUUGUUCCAAGAACCAGCUCAUUGAUUUGGUUUCAGUUUCAUUGAUUUCUACUUUUAUCUUUAUUAUUUCCUUCUUUUUCUUGCUUUUGGUAUAUUUUGUGCUUCUUUUUCUAGGUUCUAGAGGUGGAAGCAUACGUUAUUGAUUUGAGACCUUUCCUCUUUUCUAAUGUGAGCAUUUUAGUUACAUUUAGUUCCCUCCUAGGACUACUUUAAUUGGAUUAUUGAGAGGUGUUGAAGUCUCCAACUGUAUUUGUGGAUUUAUUUAUUUUUCCUUUCAGUUCUAUUAGUUUUAGCUUCACAUUAUUUUGCAGCUCUGAUGUUUAAAGGUGCAUGAACAUUUAGGCUCACUAUGUCUCAGUGAAUUGACCCUUUUAUCAUUACGUAAUAUUCCUCUCAGUCUCUGGUCAUUUUCUUUGUGCUGAAAUAUACUUUAUCUGAUAAUAUAAUGACUGUUCCCUGUAGAUUAAUAUUUUCAGGAUGUAUCAUUUUUAUUUUUUUAUUUUCAACCUGCCUGUAAUCAUUAUAUUUGCAGUGAAUUUUUUCUAGACACUGUAUAGUUGAAUCAUUUAAAAAAG